rnacentral:lncRNA from 1 species
GCCGCCGACCAUAUUUCUCAUCAUGCCAAAAUGAUUUUUUGCAUGGAGUUUUUGCACCCAUCUAAGGUUUGUUGCCCAUCUUUCUGAGUCCUUAAGAUAUGGAUUGAGUUUGGAUCAAAAUAGAAUUCAAAUCUGAUUUGAAUUGAUGAUAAGAUCAAACCCUAUUUGAAUCAGAACCAAAACAAUCAAACUCUAUCCUUA